rnacentral:rRNA from 1 species
GCGUUGUCCGGAAUUAUUGGGCGUAAAGCGCGCGUAGGCGGGAUAGUCAGUCUGUUGUAAAAGUGCGGGGCUCAACCCCGUAAGGUCAAUGGAAACUGCUAUUCUUGAGUGCAGGAGAGGAAAGUGGAAUUCCCAGUGUAGCGGUGAAAUGCGUAGAUAUUGGGAGGAACACCAGUGGCGAAGGCGACUUUCUGGACUGUGUCUGACGCUGAGGCGCGAAAGCCAG